rnacentral:rRNA from 1 species
CACGUAGUUAGCCGUGACUUUCUCACAGGGUACCGUCACUGUCUUCUUCCCCUGCGACAACAGUUUACAAUCCGAAGACCUUCUUCCUGCACGCGGCGUUGCUGCGUCAGGGUUGCCCCCAUUGCGCAAUAUUCCCCACUGCUGCCUCCCGUAGGAGUCUGGGGCCGUGUCUCAGUCCCAAUGCGGCCGAUCAACCUCUCAGUUCGGCUACAGAUCGUCGCCUUGGGUGAGCCGUUACCUCACCAACCAGCUAAUCUGACGCGAGUCCAUCCAUAAGCGAUAAAUCUUUACAAAAUUCUAUGAUGCCAUAAAAUUCAAUAUGCGGUAUUAGUCCUCGUUUCCAAGGUAUUAUCCCCUCUUAUGGGCUAGGUUACUCACGCGUUACUCGCCCGUCCGCCUACUUCCACCCACAGUUCACCCCGAAGGACUCACAAAUGGGUUUACUCGUUCGACUUGCAUGUGUUAGGCACGCCGCCAGCGUUCGUCCU